AUUGAACGCUGGCGGCAGGCCUAACACAUGCAAGUCGAGCGAACCUAGCUUGCUAGGUGAGCGGCGAACGGGUGAGUAACACGUAGGAAUCUGCCCGAUAGUGGGGGACAACGUCUCGAAAGGGACGCUAAUACCGCAUACGCCCUAAGGGGGAAGGCAGGGGAUCUUCGGACAUUGCGCUAUCGGAUGAGCCUGCGUCGGAUUAGCUAGGUGGCGGGGUAAAGGCUCACCAAGACGACGAUCCGUAGCUGGUCCGAGAGGAUGAUCAGCCACACCGGAACUGAGAGACGGUCCGGACUCCUACGGGAGGCAGCAGUGGGGAAUAUUGGACAAUGGGAGCAACCCUGAUCCAGCCAUGCCGCGUGUGUUAAGAAGGCCUUCGGGUUGUAAAGCACUUUAAGCGGGGAGGAAAGUUCGCUGGCUAAUAUCCAGCGGAAUUGACGUUACCCGCAGAAUAAGCACCGGCUAACUCCGUGCCAGCCGCCGCCGUAA
rnacentral:rRNA from 1 species